AAGUAUAAUUUAAAAAGGGAGUGGUCCCAUAUUUUCGACAUCCAUAACUUUAAAACUGAGCAAAUAUUUACACAAAAUGACAAAAUAUGUUAAACAUAUAACAAAGUACUGUGUAUCUAUAUAUACAUUUUUGUAGACGUUUUUUGAAGAUAAUGUUGAAGAUUUGAGCCAUAAUUCAACAAUUAAUUCAAAUGGGUGGGUUUUACCCGGUUUAACUCUGUUCGGAUCUUGGAUAACAUGUUUAAUUCUGUUCUGAUCUUGGAUAACAUUAAUUUUUGGAAAAGUUACCUAAAAACUAAUAAUUAAAAACGAAAAUUAAUGAUUUAAUUACCAAAUUUAAUAUAAAUAAUAUCUCUAAACUAACCAUAUUUGUUAUUUACCUUAACUAAUUUCCUAAAAUAUUUCUACCUAAUUUAAACAUAAAUAUAUAAUUCUUCUUUCACUU
rnacentral:sRNA from 1 species